UCCCCUACCCCAAUCCAAAAAUCCCCACGGCAGCGCAGCUCCACCCCAACCCACCUCCAGCCCCCGGCUCCGGCGAGCCUCCCGCCGACGACCCACUACCGCGCUGACCCUCGCGCCGCCCCACCCGACACCCCGCCCCCAUCUCCCCUGGCUUUGGCCGCUGCCCCGCCCCCAUCGCCCCCAACUCCGGUCGCCGCACCGCCCCAUCGCCCCUGAAUCCCGCCACCACCCCACCUUCAUCUCCUCCCCGGAAGCUCCCGCUGCGCACACCCACCUGCGUUCCCCCGGAGCGGACGCCACAUUAGUCGCCUACUUGCCCCGGCUCACUCUGCCUGCCUCCUAUUCCAGAAAAAUUGGGGGCCAUCGGCGGGGAUCCAAGCUUUUCUCGGCUCCACCCAGUGCCUCCCCACUCUGGCACGAUCCCCCCCAGGUGGAGCUCCCGCACCUACCUUCUUCCUCAUCCCGGUUCCCACACCUCCGCCUCCUCCCGAUUGCCCUGACGGGGACACAAUGCCAUCCCAGUCGAGCCCCGCAUCGUCAGGGAGGUUGGGGCCAUCGCGAGUAGCAGUCCAGAGCAGUCAAGGUGAGGGUGAGCACAGCACUUCCAUCCCAUCCAUGUUAAGCACGUUUGUGGAUUUUCUACAGGUAGCACGUUUGUGGUUUUGGGUAGUAACAAUGUUCAGGCCCGCGUACAUUGCCGCCGCUCACCUCCCCACGACCUGCAUACAGAGUUCUAACUUGUUGCAAAAGUUCAAAAAGAAGAAUAUAUGCAGUCCAACUUAUUCUAGCAUAAUGCUUCUCCUUCGAAUCUAGAUGCUACAACAGUCCUCCUUUGUGAAGAUGAACUGAAUGUUGCUGUUUUGAUGUUCUACAGAAAGUGUACUGAAUUUUGCAGUUUUAUCUUUUUUACACGCACUACUCCUUGAGCUGGCAGCCGCGAGACCCUGUGCCUCCACGGGCCUCAUCUCCCGCUAUCGGCAACAGCACUCCCUUCCUCCAGCGCGUCGCCGACGAGGCCAACCGCCUACACGGCUACACCGUCUUUGGCUGCAACGAUGUCGUCUCAACGAGGCCAACCGCCUACACCGGCUUGGGCUGCAACGACGUCGUCUCUCUCCGUCAGCCUUCUCGCCUCCUCUCAGCUAGCAAGGGAAACAGUGGAGUAGCUUGUUGCUUGCAAAGGGAUAAGUGGAAGGUGAAGAACCGAAGAAACUGCAGGGACAAAAGUUGGAGGUCUGCUCAACAUUUUUGUUACGGAUGCCUCUUUAGUCUUUACAGUUUCAGUCAUCCACCGGCCUCCUCCUCACGCUCGUCACCUCCUCAGCGCUGGAGUGAAGGUCGGCUCCUCUGCACUCUGCAGUUCGGUUUCUACUGAUGUUGUAGCUCCUAAAUCCGUCGUGGACACCCCUGUGACACCCCGUGCGUGGCCGGUGGAGCUCAGCCGCUCCACUGCUUCCCCUUCCCAUGCAUCACGAAUCAGGGCGUGACCAUAACAUGCUAGCAAUUUUAUGCUUUGGCUGCCAGUAAUGUGUUUGUGCUAAUGUCUAGUAGGAACUCUAGGUGUACUGAUAAAAGGGAACCAAACCAUCAUAUAAGGGAAAAAGCAGCAUCUCUCUAUCUUUGAUCUCUCUAUGAUACAUAUAUGGACGUAUAUGCAAUUAGCAAAAUUCCUCUUUUAUAUUGCUUAUUCACUAAUCAUUCAUGCUUCGUGUCCUAAAAGAAGUACAGUGUGCUCUGUUUGAAAAAGCAUGUGGUCAGCAUUAUAUGGAUCUGAAGGUUUAACAAACAAAACAUUCAGAUUUCUCUUUAUUCGUAUAAAGGUUGGAGUGAGGUAGCGCUUAUUUCCUAUAUAGCUGCUCAUUUUGGAUGCAGUUUUAACAAUCAGGCUAGGGCGGCGGUGAGCGUGGGUAGGCCGGCCAAACCUUCCCUGUACUGGGUCAACCGGCAGCGUCGCCCACCACCGUACUGUCCUACAGCAACGGCCCCAACCUGAGCAGGCGUGCUUUCUGCGACAUGCUCCUGCACAUGGAUGUCUUGGUGAGGUGCGGUCGUCGGAGUCCUUUAAGCGCUUGCACUAGUGCUUCUAACUUGUCCAUAAAGGCACUGCAUGGUGUGUCAUGUCCUGUCUGCCGCCGCAGCUGCCCUGUGUCCUCGCGAACUCUGCGGCCAGUCACCAACGCCCUAUGAGUGCGCCCUGAGUGUGGCAUGGGGAACAUGCUAAUGUGUGUGUUUGUGCACUGGUGUGUGCGUGCAUGCUUGCGUUUAUGCGUGCACUGGGUGUGCUGCUUGUGUGUUGUGAUGUAUGUUGUAUAGAUUUUUAUGAAGUUCAUGUUGUGAACCCAACUAAGUUAGAACACAAACGUUUAGAUCGCAACUGCUUUGAAUUUGCUCCGGUAGCAGAAAUCUUGUUUCCGUGCUGUUGUACUAUGUGCACUUAUGUAGUGUUUCUAAAUAACUUCUUGUCUGAA